rnacentral:rRNA from 1 species
AUUGAACGCUGGCGGCAUGCCUUACACAUGCAAGUCGAACGGCAGCACGGGAGCAAUCCUGGUGGCGAGUGGCGAACGGGUGAGUAAUAUAUCGGAACGUGCCCGGUCGUGGGGGAUAACGUAGCGAAAGCUACGCUAAUACCGCAUACGAUCUACGGAUGAAAGCGGGGGAUCGCAAGACCUCGCGCGAUUGGAGCGGCCGAUAUCAGAUUAGGUAGUUGGUGAGGUAAAGGCUCACCAAGCCGACGAUCUGUAGCUGGUCUGAGAGGACGACCAGCCACACUGGGACUGAGACACGGCCCAGACUCCUACGGGAGGCAGCAGUGGGGGAAUUUUGGACAAUGGGCGCAAGCCUGAUCCAGCAAUGCCGCGUGCAGGAUGAAGGCCUCGGUU